rnacentral:rRNA from 1 species
UGUAGUCAUAUGCUUGUCUCAAAGAUUAAGCCAUGCAUGUCUAAGUAUAAGCAAUUAUACCGUGAAACUGCGAAUGGCUCAUUAAAUCAGUUAUCGUUUAUUUGAUAAUACCUUACUACUUGGAUAACCGUGGUAAUUCUAGAGCUAAUACAUGCUGAAAAUCCCGACUUCGGAAGGGAUGUGUUUAUUAGAUAAAAAACCAAUGCCCUUCGGGGCUUUUUGGUGAUUCAUGAUAACUUUACGGAUCGCAUAGCCUUGCGCUGGCGACGGUUCAUUCAAAUUUCUGCCCUAUCAACUUUCGAUGGUAAGGUAUUGGCUUACCAUGGUUUCAACGGGUAACGGGGAAUUAGGGUUCGAUUCCGGAGAGGGAGCCUGAGAAACGGCUACCACAUCCAAGGAAGGCAGCAGGCGCGCAAAUUACCCAAUCCCGACACGGGGAGGUAGUGACAAUAAAUACUGAUACAGGGCUCUUUUGGGUCUUGUAAUUGGAAUGAGUACAAUUUAAACCUCUUAACGAGGAACAAUUGGAGGGCAAGUCUGGUGCCAGCAGCCGCGGUAAUUCCAGCUCCAAUAGCGUAUAUUAAAGUUGUUGCAGUUAAAAAGCUCGUAGUUGAAACUUGGGCCUGGCUGGCGGGUCCGCCUCACCGCGUGCACUCGUCCGGCCGGGCCUUCCUUCUGAAGAACCUCAUGCCCUUCACUGGGCGUGCUGGGGAAUCAGGACUUUUACUUUGAAAAAAUUAGAGUGUUCAAAGCAGGCCCUUGCUCGAAUACGUUAGCAUGGAAUAAUAAAAUAGGGCGUGCGUUUCUAUUUUGUUGGUUUCUAGAGGACGCCGCAAUGAUUAACAGGAACAGUCGGGGGGCAUCAGUAUUCAGGUUGUCAGAAGUGAAAUUCUUGGGAUUUACUGG